CGCCGAGCUGGCCGACCGGAUCGCCGCCGGACACGCCGCGGGCGCGCCGGUCGAGCGGGUCGCCGCGGCCGGGCCGUUCGACCUGCCGACCCGGCGG
rnacentral:tRNA from 1 species